UACCUCUCAGAAUUGCACCUGGAAAGUUUCCAAUACUCUACCACUCUCGGCUACGAGAGGGAGAGUCAAGCAGAGGCCUACCCAUUCCAUUCCUAGCUUGGCCAGUGGCUAGUGAGUGGAGGCAGUCUGCUACAAGU
rnacentral:snoRNA from 1 species